rnacentral:rRNA from 1 species
GAUGAACGCUAGCGGCAGGCCUAACACAUGCAAGUCGAGGGGUAUAUAAUGCUUGCAUUAUAGAGACCGGCGCACGGGUGAGUAACGCGUAUGGAAUCUGCCUUGUACAGGGGAAUAGCCCAGGGAAACUUGGAUUAAUGCCCCAUAGUAUUAUGAGACGGCAUUGUUUUUAUAAUUAAAGAUUUAUCGGUACAAGAUGAUCAUGCGUCCCAUUAGCUUGUUGGUGUGGUAACGGCACACCAAGGCUACGACGGGUAGCCGGCCUGAGAGGGUGACCGGCCACACUGGGACUGAGACACGGCCCAG